rnacentral:misc_RNA from 1 species
UGGGUUUGACAUCACCCGGAAACCCUCAGAGAUGGGGGCCUCUUCGGACUGGGUGACAGGUGGUGCAUGGCUGUCGUCAGCUCGUGUCGUGAGAUGUUGGGUUAAGUCCCGCAACGAGCGCAACCCUUACCCCAUGUUGCCAGCAGGCCGCACUUGUGCGGUGCUGGGGACUCGUGGGGGACUGCCGGGGUUAACUCGGAGGAAGGUGGGGAUGACGUGUAACCGAAUCU